UGGGGCGUAGCCAAGUGGUAAGGCAACGGUUUUUGGUACCGCGUACCGUAGGUUCGAAUCCUACCGCCCCAGCCA
rnacentral:tRNA from 1 species